AAAUUGAAGAGUUUGAUCAUGGCUCAGAUUGAACGCUGGCGGCAGGCCUAACACAUGCAAGUCGAACGGUAACAGGAAGCAGCUUGCUGCUUUGCUGACGAGUGGCGGACGGGUGAGUAAUGUCUGGGAAACUGCCCGAUGGAGGGGGAUAACUACUGGAAACGGUAGCUAAUACCGCAUAACGUCGCAAGACCAAAGAGGGGGACCUU
rnacentral:rRNA from 3 species